AGCAGUCGCCGCGGUAACACGUAGGUGGCAAGCGUUGUCCGGAAUUAUUGGGCGUAAAGGGCUCGCAGGCGGUUUCUUAAGUCUGAUGUGAAAGCCCCCGGCUCAACCGGGGAGGGUCAUUGGAAACUGGGAAACUUGAGUGCAGAAGAGGAGAGUGGAAUUCCACGUGUAGCGGUGAAAUGCGUAGAGAUGUGGAGGAACACCAGUGGCGAAGGCGACUCUCUGGUCUGUAACUGACGCUGAGGAGCGAAAGCGUGGGGAGCGAACAGGAUUAGAGACCCCGGUAGUCCCUGUCUCUUAUAA
rnacentral:rRNA from 1 species